rnacentral:rRNA from 1 species
CCUACGGGCGGCAGCAGUGGGGAAUAUUGGACAAUGGGGGGAACCCUGAUCCAGCCAUGCCGCGUGUGUGAAGAAGGCCCUCGGGUUGGAAAGCACUUUCAGUGAGGAAGAACGCCUGGUGGUUAAUACCCAUCAGGAAAGACAUCACUCACAGAAGAAGCACCGGCUAACUCCGUGCCAGCAGCCGCGGUAAUACGGAGGGUGCGAGCGUUAAUCGGAAUUACUGGGCGUAAAGCGCGCGUAGGUGGCUUGAUAAGCCGGUUGUGAAAGCCCCGGGCUCAACCUGGGAACGGCAUCCGGAACUGUCAAGCUAGAGUGCAGGAGAGGAAGGUAGAAUUCCCGGUGUAGCGGUGAAAUGCGUAGAGAUCGGGAGGAAUACCAGUGGCGAAGGCGGACUUCUGGACUGACACUGACACUGAGGUGCGAAAGCGUGGGUAGCAAACAGGAUUAGAUACCCUUGUAGUC